AGGACUAUAAACUCUCCCAGAUCACUGGAGCAUGGUGCUGCUGAUGCAAAGUGACUCUCUAUGGAAAUGUUCUGACUGAGUCUAACUGGAACUGGGAUCAAUAUGAUGAUUAUUUUAAUAGGUUCUUGAUCCAGCCCUCCUUGAUAUGACUGCAGCACAUUGAAGAUCGCUUGCUACUGGAAAACCACCUCAAGUUGUCAUCUUCCGAACCAAGUCGCUCUAAGCUCCUGUCUGCUCGCUCUCCCGCCGACCAGCAGAAUUACCCACGGAUCUCAUAAACCAACCACCACCAGGUGAACCCCGCAACCGUAAACCCACCUCGAAGCUUUUACCCACAUCCAGAAAACAUUUCAGGCGUACCACAUAGAGAAGCCGGUUGCUUACAAGUGCCAGGGCACAUGUAAGCAUAUGUCUCCUAGGUGAUACUCGUCCCACCCUGACAGUGCUGCCCCCCUCCAGUGAGGAGCUGCAGCAGGGGAAAGCCACCCUCAUGUGUCUGGCCAACAAGGGCUUCCCCUCAGACUGGAGUCUGUCCUGGAAGGUGGACGGCAGCAGCAGCAGCAGCAGCAGCAGCAGCUGGGAGCAGAGC